CAAUAGCGUAUAUUAAAGUUGUUGCAGUUAAAAAGCUCGUAGUUGAAUUUCUGGCGGGCGCGCCGGUCUUCCAAGUGUUGUACUGGGCGCAGUCCGCCAUCCUUGUGGAGAGGGCUCGCAUUGAGUUGCGUGUCGGAUCUGCAUCAUUUACUGUGAGUGUUCAAAGCAGGCUGUCGCUUGAAUACAUUAGCAUGGAAUAAUAAGAUAGGACUUCGGUCUAUUUUGUUGGUUGCGAACCGAGGUAAUGAUUAAUAGGGAUAGUUGGGGGUAUUCAUAUUUAAUUGUCAGAGGUGAAAUUCUUGGAUUUAUGAAAGAUGAACAACUGCGAAAGCAUUUACCAAGGAUGUUUNCAUUAA
rnacentral:rRNA from 1 species